rnacentral:rRNA from 1 species
GUCGAACGCUGGCGGCGUGCUUAACACAUGCAAGUCGAACGAAGUGGCGAACGGGUGAGUAACGCGUAAUAAACCUGCCCUUCAGAGGGGGACAACAGUUGGAAACGACUGCUAAUACCGCAUACUGAAGGAGGGGUAUGCGUCUGAUUAGCUAGUUGGAGGGGUAACGGCCCACCAAGGCGAUGAUCAGUAGCCGGUCUGAGAGGAUUAGCGACAACAAGGGGACUGAGAAACGGCCCAAGCACCUACGGGAGGGAGCAGUGGGGAAUCUUCCGCAAUGGAGGAAAAGCUGACGGAGCAACGCCGCGUGAGUGAUGACGGCCUUCGGGUUGUAAAGCUCUGUUAAUCGGGACGCGUUACCGGAAGAGAAAGCCACGGCUAACUACGUGCCAGCCGCCGCGGUAAUUC